rnacentral:lncRNA from 1 species
ACCAACACCAUUAAGAGGAAUUCCAAUUCCACCUCCUAUACAACAACCUUAAGGCCAUGGUUUCAUAUACUUCAUUCUAGCAUCUGAAAUGCAACCUUUAGACCAAGGUUUCAUGUUUUUUUAUGUAUUUUAGUUAAGUAUUUUGAUUAUGACCAGACAUGGUUUGACAAUUAUGUAUUUGGUGAUGAUGUAUUUUGGAUAAGCACUUGUUCAUUUAGAUGUCUUUUGAUUAUGACCAAACUUAGUUUGACAAUUAUGUAUUUUUGAUGGUGUAUUUUGGAUUUUGGUUAUGAUCAAACGUGGAACCCAUUAAUCAAAUUAAUGCCUUGGAGUUUAC